rnacentral:piRNA from 1 species
UNGGUUUCCAAACCAGGGCAUUCUCAGC